GUCGGUCGGACUGAAGGAACCAAAUAGUUUGCCAACCUUUUUGCGCGCUGUUCCCGCUUGUGUGGUGCUGGAAUCGCACGUGGGAAUCCCUGGCUUCGGAGGAUGGAUGGAUUUAAGACAGAGGAGUGAGUCUGCUGAGGCGAGCAGGCGCUGACUCUCACUGAGCUCCUUUUCCCUCUGAACAAACUGCUCAGACUCGUCCCUCACCAUGUCCUGGUUGUUGGCCAUUUGGAUUAGCCUCGGCUUCCUGCUGUUGUGCCAGGCCACACUCUACCAGACCAUCCAGCAGCACCACGUGGCCCGGCCCGGACGCACCGACAUUCUCACCCUGGAGGGAGGCACUUGCGAGGUGAUCGCCGCCCACCGAUGCUGUAACAAGAACCGCAUUGAGGAGCGCUCUCAGACCGUCAAGUGUUCCUGUUUACCGGGGAAAGUGGCCGGGACGACGCGGAACAAACCCUCCUGCGUGGAUGCGUCCAUUGUGAUUGGGAAAUGGUGGUGUGAGAUGGAGCCAUGUCUGGAGGGAGAAGAGUGUAAGACACUGCCUGACAACUCUGGAUGGAUGUGCUCCUCUGGGAACAAAAUCAAGACCACAAGAAAUACCCAGCCAUACUCCCCUUUUUAGCUUCUGGAAGCAAAAUGCAGAGGAUGGGUCAACAGAAAUUGAGCUGCAUUCUUGCUUCUGUAAAGAUCCAUCCCAGGACCUAACAGAGGGCUCCCGCUGCAGGGCCGCGUGCCAGGCUCUCCCCUUCAUCUACCCCUUUCUCCUCCUGCCGAAACGGACUAAAAAAACUAUUACAUCCACGUCUGCUGACUGGAUUACCUGGGACCACAGAAAGGAUAUCCACCCAGAUAAAACAGGCUUUGCUCGCGUGGUGCCAAGGAUUUGAAACCAGACUAAUCCCCCUGUUUGAUCAAUGAGCCCCAUGUUGGUGACUCUCCUCUUCCACGCGGCUGUGGCCAGUUUCCGACCCGCGCUCGCUCUCUCCGUUUCUCUCUCUGUCUCUCGGUGUUUUCGUCCCUCGGUCCCCCUCUGCAAAACUGAAGCAGCUUAGCAGGGGUUAUUUAGAGGUUGUUAAAACAUUAUUUGAAGACAUUCGCACUGCCUGAAGGUAAACCGGUUUAGCAGCUUACAUGAGACUGAACAUAUUGGAUCCACAGAACUGAGGGCAAACCGGGG